GUGCGCGCCAACCGCCCCCCGCCCACGGCGCGGAGCACCUCUGGGCUCCCCACUUGAACGGCGGGCCGCGCCGGCCCAUGAGGAAAGCGGGGUGCGGAGCUCGCCCCCUGCCGGAGGAUGCGCUCCGCCGGCGGGCACCCUGCGGGGACCACAGCCGGACGCCAGAAGUGACCUGACCGUGAAUGUGCGCUUUGCGUGCAGUCAUUGCAUCGUCGCAGGCCUAGGAGACAGAUGAAGAGAUGGGUGCUUAUUUUAUAUAGGGGACACAGUGUGCCCAAGAGCACAAGAUAAACGGCCGGGUGGGGAUUCAAACCCAUGUUCCCUGACUCAAGUGCUCUUAAGGAAAUUCUCGGUUAUACUGAAAAAUCCAGAAGCUCUGAAGAUACCAGUCAAAUAAAAUCACACCCUAUAACUCUACACCAGACUUGUGGCAUGGUUUCUGUAGCUGCCAGCGGUAAAACCAAGAGAAACUUUACAAAAACCUUUUGUGCAUCUGAAAAGGAGGAAGUGUGAGAGACACUGGAAAUUCAAUAUGUCAGACAAAGCCGUCUCCUGACACUGCAGGACAGUAGACCAGUCAAACAAUCUUUUUAAAGCCCCCAUGUAAGAAGUUGCUAUAUGAGGUGGCAGCUUGGGUCAGACAUUAUGUAUGGCCUUUGGUAUUUUAGUAGCACUGCAUGUAAAAUUUAACUUUCUAAAAUCGCUGUAUUCGUGGAUAGCUUUUAUCAUUGCACUAGACAACAAGUUACAAUUUAAAAAUUGUAUCUGUUUCUUUUUAUGUUUUUUGAUCCUUUUGGUGUCUGAAGUUUUCCUCUAUUUGCAACCUUCUACAAUUCAUGUUUUGUGUUUAUUAUUUAUAUUAAUACAUCCUCUCCAACACCAGGCAGAUUCUGUUCCCGCCUACCUAGUUUCCCAGCUACAGUUUUUGACAUGAGGGAAUAUGCUGAAUAACUUUUCAAGUCUUGAUUUGUAGAGGGCUGGUCUCUAUGAGGCUAUGAGGGAUCUAAGAAAGAAAGUCGGGUUUUUCCUUGAUGUCUAGUACAGCAUUAACCAGACUAAUCAAUACUUCUACAAGGACAAAGUUAAGCUUGGUAUUCUCUGUUCUCUCUUUAUAUACAACUCCGGUUCUUGUUUCUUUUAGUUUAAUUUUGCAGAUACAGGAAGCUUUAGUAGCCUCAAAAAAAUAAAAUUGCAAAGCUGUGUUGCAUUGCAAGGCUGGUGGAAAACAACAAUUAGUUACCAAGUUCAUUGGUGGCCUAAAGAGGAUACCAAAUUGGUAGAAUGCUAGAGCCAUUUAUUCCUCCAUCAUCCCUUAGAAAUCUAACUUGCCUACUGCAUAAGCCUAGAAUUAAAGCAAGACCAGAGCAAAACAUAGCUAAUGCCUUUCUGAGAUUAAUAUAAGAAUGAGUAGCUUCCAAUAAAUAACAAUAAAAUUAAAGUUCAACAUGGAUCAAGGAAACA
rnacentral:lncRNA from 1 species